CAGUCGCCGCGGGAAUACGAAGGGUGCAAGCGUUAAUCGGAAUUACUGGGCGUAAAGCGUGCGUAGGCGGUGAGUUAAGUCUGCUGUGAAAUCCCCGGGCUCAACCUGGGAAUGGCAGUGGAUACUGGCUCGCUAGAGUGUGUCAGAGGAUGGUGGAAUUCCCGGUGUAGCGGUGAAAUGCGUAGAGAUCGGGAGGAACAUCAGUGGCGAAGGCGGCCAUCUGGGACAACACUGACGCUGAGGCACGAAAGCGUGGGGAGCAAACAGGAUUAGAUACCCGCGUAGUCCCUGUCUCUUAUAA
rnacentral:rRNA from 1 species